rnacentral:rRNA from 1 species
GACGAACGCUGGCGGCGUGCCUAAUACAUGCAAGUAGAACGCUGAAGGAGGAGCUUGCUUCUCUGGAUGAGUUGCGAACGGGUGAGUAACGCGUAGGUAACCUGCCUGGUAGCGGGGGAUAACUAUUGGAAACGAUAGCUAAUACCGCAUAACAGUAGAUAUCGCAUGAUAUCUACUUGAAAGGUGCAAUUGCAUCACUACCAGAUGGACCUGCGUUGUAUUAGCUAGUUGGUGAGGUAACGGCUCACCAAGGCGACGAUACAUAGCCGACCUGAGAGGGGGAUCGGCCACACUGGGACUGGGCCACGGCCCAGACUCCUACGGGAGGCAGCAGUAGGGAAUCUUCGGCAAUGGACGGAAGUCUGACCGAGCAACGCCGCGUGAGUGAAGAAGGUUUUCGGAUCGUAAAGCUCUGUUGUAAGAGAAGAACGAGUGUGAGAGUGGAAAGUUCACACUGUGACGGUAUCUUACCAGAAAGGGACGGCUAACUACGUG